GAAAUUGUAAAGAAAAGGCGUUGGACAAGAAAGUGGGCAGGAACUAUAAAUUGGCUCCCAUCUCCUUCCUGCGUAAAUUAGGGCUCUGCUCCUUUCACUUUCAUAUCUUCGUGGCGCCAUCUAUACCUUUAAAUUCCGGGUCUUAAGUCGAACUUGAGAAGUUAAACGAGAUAUAAUGCCUGAAGACUGGACCGUUGUUGGUCGUAUAUGAUGAUCCCUCUGACCAACAGUCCUUGUCUUUAGAUGAAACCGGCAGCACGGAGGAGUCACCUGCUGAAACCAGGCUGUCCCUGGAUUCAAAUAAUGAUGCAACUCCAUAUAUAGGGCAAAGGUUUCCUACUCAUAACUCUGCUUAUGAGUUUUAUAGUGAAUUUGCAAAGAGAUGUGGCUUCCCAAUCCGAAGACACCGAACAGAGGGAAAAGAUGGGAUUGGGAAAGGCCUUACAAGGCGCUAUUUUGUUUGCCAUCGUGCUGGGAACACACCUAAUAAGACACCAACUGAAAAUAAGCCUUAAAGGAAUAGAAAAUCCCUCGGUGUGGAUGUCAAGCAUAUAUGAGAAUAAGCAAAACAAUGGAACUAGGACCACCAGAGUGGCGUGUCAUUGGUUUUGCAAACCACCAUAAUCAUGAACUAUAGAACCAAACCAAGUCCGUUUCCUUCCAGCAUAUUGAACAAUUUCUGAGAUAGACAAGGGCCGAAUUCUUAUGUAUGCCAAAUCAGGAAUUUCUGUGCAGCAAAUGACGAGGUUCAUGAGCUAGAGAAAGGUGUGGAGCCAGGAUAUUUGCCAUUCACUGAGAAGGAUGUAAGAAAUCUACUUCAAACAUUUAGAAAAUUAGAUAAUGAAGAAGAGAGCAUUGACCUAUUGCGAAUGUGCAGAAACAUUAAGGAAAAAGAUCCGAAUUUCAAAUUCAAGUAUGUGAUCGCCAAACAACAGGUUAGAGAACAUUGCCUGGUCAUGUGCCUCAUCCAUUCAAGCUUAUGAGACAUUUGGUGAUGCAGUGGUCUUCGAUACCACACAUCGAUUGACUGCAUUUGACAUGCUACUCGGGAUAUGGGUUGGAAUUAAUAACCAUGGCAUGCCUUGCUUCUUAAGUUGUGUACUUCUUCGGGAGGAGAAUUUGAGAUCAUUUACAUGGGCUUUGGAGGUAAUUCAUGGGGUUCAUGAAUGGGAAGGCUCCACAGACAAUAUUAACCGACCAGAAUGUGUCUCAAAGAUGCCAUAGCGAUGGAACUGUCAACUACUAAGCAUGCACUUUGUAUUUGGAUGAUUGUGGCGAAGUUUCCAUCCUGGUGUAAUGCUAUUCUUGGAGAACGUUACAAUGAGUGGAAAAGUGGAUUCUGUCGAUUAUAUAAUCUGGAGUUAAUUGAGGAUUUUGAAAUAGGGUGGAGGGACAUGGUGAAUUCCUUUGGUCUGCAUACUAAUAGGCACGUAGCCAACUUGUACAGUCUGCGUUCUCUUUGGGCAUUGCCAUUCUUGAGAAACCAUUUCUUCGCUGGAAUGGCAACCAUUGGCCAAUCAAAAGCAAUCAAUGCUUUUAUUCAGCGAUUUUUGAGUGCACAGACUCGACUUGCUCAGUUUAUUGAACAGAGCAAGGGGACGAAACCCUAGCCGUCAUCGACGAGAAUCGACCACAACCUUCUUCAGCAGUCAUCGUGGGGAUCAGUGGGGCUGUGAAUGUCGAUAUCACAGCAACCGUCCAAGCAGCCGUCGAGCGUUACCUCCAAGCCACGUUGCCUCAUCUUAUUCCAACUGUCGUUCAUGUCCAGCAGUCGGUCGAAGGAAGCCAGCCGAGCCGUUUGCCUCAAAUCGGAGCGUCGAUCAGUGGUCAGAACCGUUCAAUCUUCGAAGCCCAGCCGAUUGGAGCCGCUCCUUAGCAGAUCGCGUCGAGCCCAGCCGAUGCGUCGUACCCAGAAGUCGUGGCUGGAUACCCUCGAUCGCGUCUUCCACCUGCGCAAACCCUAGUCGAUGGACAGUUUCAGAUGAUUCCGGUGCAGUCCCUUCAGUCGCAGCCUUCAGUCGGGAUUUUCUCUAGUUGAGCUGAGCCAAGCAACUUGUCGGUCAGAGGUUCCUCGUUUAGCCGCACCAACUCUGGCCCUUCUUUCCCUUUGGCUCCCUCCGCAGCGUUUGAUGCUCGGGGCUAGGCUCCCUCAACCGAUCUCUUCCAACCAGUGAUGGGACCGGGGUCUAAUGAACAGAAAAUUCCAGCUGCACCUUGUAGCAGCGGCACGACUUAAUGUCUUAGCGAGAUUCAACAUUGUUUGCUUAUCUCCAACAACAAGCAGCAGACUUCGGAACAAUCCUUGGCACAAAUCCACAACUAGAAUUCUACUCUGAGGAUCUGGUAACCUCUUUCUCUAUUUUACCCAAUACGAAUUAUUUGUUUGGUUUGAUGGUCAAUUCUACAGGGUUCAUCAUUGGAGAAAAGUUGAAUGACCAGGAUUAUUUUUCCUGGUCACAAUCAAUCAGAAUGACACUGGAAAGGAGACAUAAGUUUGGGUACUUGACGGGGGAGAUACUAAAACCCCAACUGAGUGAUCCACAAGAACGUAUUUGGAAAGGAGAAGACUCUUUGUUACGGUCAGUUCUUGUUAACAGUAUGGAAACCCAAAUUGACAGACCAUUACUGUAUGCUGCAACCGCCAAGGAUAUUUGGGAUACUGUGCAUAAGCUUUACUUAAAAAGGCAGAAUGCGUCUCAACUGUACACUACGCAAGCAGGUCCACGAAUGCAAAUAAGGGACCAUGGAUGUAACAUCCUAUUUUAAUAAACUAUCCCUGUUGUGGCGAGAAAUGGAUCUUUGACGAGAAAUAGUUUGGAAUUGUGCACAGUAUUUGAAGAUUGAAGAAGCUAAUCGGGUCUCUGACUUCUUAGCUGGGUUGAACUCUAAAUUCGAUGUCGUUCGAAGUCGAAUAUUGGGCCAACGACCUAUACUCUCUCUCAUGGAAGUGUGUUCAGAGAUACGGCUGGAAGAUGACAGAUCGAGUGCUAUGAACAACCCAGUUAGCACUUCAACUGAGGCUGCGACCUUUGCUACAAAAUCUUCCAGCUCUGACGGCGAUAAGAAACCCACCCCUGUCUGUGACAUUGCAAAAAGCCGUGACAUACAAAAAACCAGUGUUGGAAGCUACAUGGACGACCUUCGAACAGUAAACGUCGCCAGUCACAUGACAAAUCAAACCUUGGACAUGCCCUUGUGAGUGAUUCAACAAAUGAGAAUUCUCAGCAUCAAUCCCCAACAGAUAGUAAGACCAAUCUAAGUACAGUUGGGGUUAGUGCCAUCACAUAGUCAGGUACGAUUCAAUCUUUUGGCUUUAUUAGUAUUAAUGAUAAAAAACCUUGGAUUGUUGACUCAGGGGCUAUAUAUCAUCUUACUGGCUCAUCUGAUCAAUUUCUUUCAUACUGUUCGAGUGCUGGUAAUGAACGGAUUAGAAUCGCAGAUGGGUCAUUUGCCCCUGUUGCAGGGAAAGGAUAUGUGUCUCCGUUUGAGGGUUUGGAUUUGAGCUUGGGGACGACGAUUGACACUACCCGACACGAUAGGAGAAAACUGAACUGACCUAUAAAUGGUCAGUCGGCUUGCACUCCCAUCUCCAAUUACGAGUAAACAAGACAGAAUACCAGAUAGCUAUCUUCCCGUACGAUGGAGAAGGAUAAGCAUGCCCUGGGCAAAGCUCCUUCCAAGUACUGAAAUGAUCGAUCAUGCUGAAAGGAUUCAGGUGUUGCAGAGCAUGGUGACAAAUCUUGUUACUACUGAAUCUGCAAAGUCCAGAGAGAGGCUUGAUAUCACAACCGAGCAAGUGUCGCUCCUCUUAUCCAUCCCGCACGGCGCGAGGGAACAUCCCACAUCAUUGCCAGCCUCUAAAGGGAUGUUUCUACCCUACACAGCAACUUGUAACUUUUGUUGUAAACUAAAACUAGGAAACAGAGUGAGUUACGGGAAGAACAUUCUGCAUGGAGCGAGGCCGAGUGAUCAGUUUAAAGGCUAAUGAGGUUAGUUUCACCUGUCAUUAAUUUUACAGGAAUGGUGUUGUGCCAUAAAUAUUUACUUGCAAUUCUGUGAUAUUUAUAGUAAUUUGACCUUAGUAAAAACACUUUU